rnacentral:sRNA from 1 species
GACCACCAUGUGUGGUAGUACUAUGAUUAUAACUAGUGAGAAGCAUAAAACCAUACAAGUUAAAUCUGCUCUACGAGACUAGGGUUGCCUGAAUUUUCAACCCUAUACUAGUUGGAAUCUUAACUUUCCACUCUAAAUUUUUAGUCACUUGAAAAACCACCAUAAAAAACUUUAAUUUCGAUAAAACUACACGUACUUUCGGAUUUGUUGUUAAAACUAUGCUUCCAAUUGAACCGACCAGUUAACCGAUAAUUAUAUACCCGGUUUGAAUUACCCAAAAUUUAACCGAACCUAAUUCGAUUUUGACUCUAUUUUAACCAAAUUUUGACCCAGAAAAUAUAUUCUCUAGAAGAAAAAUACUAUUUAUUUAUUUACAUUUAAUUUUGAUAAAAAUACUAAAUUAAUUAAU